rnacentral:misc_RNA from 1 species
GUAGGUGAACCUGCGGAAGGAUCAUUAAAAGAGAGCCCGGGGUGCCUUUUUUGGCCCUCAGACCUCCCACCCUUUGUGAACGUACCUUGAGUUGCUUUGGCGGGGCGUGGCCAGAAAUGGUCCCGCUGGUCCCCUUCGCCCGGGGCUAGCGUGCCCCCGCCAGAGAAUCAUAAGAAUCUUGCUUUAACAAAACCGUGUCUGAAGAAAUAUACUAUUGAAAUAGCGAAAAAACUUUCAACAACGGAUCUCUUGGUUCUG